rnacentral:rRNA from 1 species
AUGGAGGGAGCUCCCGUGACAGCAGCCACGGGGGUCUUGGGGCCCGUCGUCGUGAAGCUGGGUGCUCUGCUGGGCAGCGAGUACAAGCUUCAGCGCCAGACUCUGAAGGACAUAAAGUUCAUCAAAUCCAAGCUCAAGUUUGUGCAUUCUAUCCUUUGGGCGAUAUGGGGGAAGGAGACUCUUGAUGCGCAAUCCAAGGAGUUGAAGAAGGAAGCGCUGGAUCUCGCCGAUGAUAUGCAAGACGCCAUCGACGACUUCAUCCUCACCAUGGAGCCAAGCCACAGAAACAAGCACCUGAAGAUACAGAUCAAGAUCCAAGCAAGCCCCUUCCAAGAUUUCAAGACAAGAGUAGAUGAUGUGUCAGCCCGGUGCCGCAGCAAGUGGAAGAUCAAGCCUGCUGAACGCGUUUGUAGCUUAUAUUCAACAAAAAGGGCAGAAUCCAGCACCCCCAGCAAACUGCCUCCUCAUCGAGCUCCAUUUGUCUGCAAGAAUGCGUCAGAGAUCAUUGGUAUGGGCAGAUGGAGAGAGGACCUCAUAACAUACCUGGUAGGAGAAGGGAGCACAAUGGCUCAGCCACAGUUCAAAAUGGCAUCCAUUGUUGGGAUGGGCGGUGUGGGCAAAACAACCCUUGCCAGCCUUGUGUAUGAGGAGAUUGGAAAUAAGUUCCAGUCCCGGGCUUUUGUGUCCGUCACUCCAACCGCCAACAUGAAGGAGGUUCUCACAAGUAUUCUCCACCAAGUAGGAGCUGAACUACCUGCUGGCACCAAAGCAAGGACGGAGGAAGAUAUCAUCCACACCAUAUCGAACUUCCUAGAGGACAAAAGGUACCUAGUAGUAAUUGAUGACAUAUGGCAUCAUGGAGAAUGGGAGAUCAUCAGCAAGUCUGUUCCACAAAAUAAUCUGGGCAGUAGAAUUGUCAUGACAACCCGUAUUGAUUCUGUAUCAGAUGAUAUCGAUUAUAACAAGCUCUGCAUCAGAAUGAAUCCUGGAUGGAGUUUUGAAGAGGAAAGAUGGUUCUACGGACAUCAUGUGCAAGAUUUCACCGCUUGGAUGAAGCCUGACAUGGUUGGAGAAGGUUUUGACCGUGACCAUCCUAUUGUGCGCAUGUGUGGUGGUGUGCCGUUAGCACUACUUUGCAUGUUUUCGGCAAUGAGAAUGGUCCGAGAGCAACAAGAACUAGGGGUACAUGUAAAGGCAUGCGUUGUGCAAGAUAUGAUUGAGAAGCAAGUUAAGCAAAGUGGAAUUCAGAACACUCCAGGGUUUGAACCGUUGGUAGAGAGUUUCCAGCUUGGCUACACCAAUCUUCCUCACCAUAUGUUGAAGACCUGCUUGUUGUACUGCAGUGUAUACCCUGAGAAUUACCCUUUUUGCAUGAAUGAUUUGGUCAUGAGAUGGGUCGCUGAAGGAUUUACUUAUAAAGUUGAUGUAGCAAAAGAUUACCUCAAAGAGCUUGGCAACAGGGGAUUUAUGCUGCAUAUGAAGGAUUCAUCUGGCAUGCCCUACUACCAAAUGAAUCCGAUGAUGCAAAAUUUCCUUAGAUGGAAAGCGCGUGAAGAUAAUUUCAUUACUUGUAGUUCCGACAUCGCAUUGGCAUAUGCAUGUCGAAUCCAUCGGCUAUGUAUCGAUGGUUAUCAAGUUGAUGACGGUGAGGUGCAGGUGGUGGAUACCUUGUUCGAACUGGAUUGGUCCCAGAUUCGAUCUCUUGUUGUUUUUGAAGGUGCUAAGAGAUAUGUCCCUUUUGAGAAGUUGGAACGUGUGCGGGUGUUGGAUCUUCAUUAUCAUCAUCAUCAUUAUCUUGAAUUCCUAAAGUCUUAUUGGAAUCCUUUUGGGGACUUUGGAUUCGAGGCCCUUGCAAAUCAGCAUGUGAAGGAUAUAUGUGGACUGCUCCGUGUGAGGCACCUAUUCGGCCUAGAAGGGAUAGGAAUCAGUGAGAUACCGCCGGAAAUAGCAAGGCUACAGCAUCUGGAGACUUUGCAGGUAAGAUUCACAUCGAUCACAGAGUUACCCAGUGAGAUUAGGGACCUACAACAAUUGAAGACUCUGGUCGUGAGUCAGAACCAAAAGCUGGCAGAGCUGCCCAGGGAGAUAGGGGAUCUGCAACAAUUAGAGACUCUGGACCUGAUGAGCUGUACCAGGCUGACGGGGCUGCCACGUGAGAUCGGGAACCUCCAGAAUUUGGAGAAUCUGAACCUGCAUUGGACCAUGCUCAAAGAGCUGCCUCUGGAGAUUGGGAAGUUGCAGCAUUUGAAAACUCUGGAUAUUGGUUCGAAUAGCAUCACAAGGCUAGGCAAUGAAAUUGAGGACCUGCAUCAUUUAGAGACCCUGGACCUGAGUUACAACCGGGGGCUCACACAGCUGCCUCGUGAGAUGUGGAAACUGCAGAAUUUGAAGCGGCUGCUCUUGAAUGGUACAGGGGUGGUGAAGAUACCAAGGGAAAUCGGAGGGCUAAAGAAGCUGGAGAUUUUGAAAUUAGACGACACCAUCGGUGCACUGCCUUGGGAAGCUAGUCAGCUCUCGAAAUUGGAGGGGGUGCCCGAGUGCGUCCGCCAAGCCUGGAAGAAGAGUGAACUUAUGUCUUGUGAGCUAGCCGGGGAGAUCUUGUCCAUUCGACUGGUCAAUCGGGCCAUUGAUAGGGGGGGCCUAAUCGUUGGGACAAAACACAUGCAGAUUCCACAGUGGAUCAAGGAACACUUCAACGACCUUGGCUCCUUGGAUAUCAGGAUCUGCAAACUGGAGGAGCGGGAUGUCAAGAUUCUGCAGGAGAUGCUCAACCUGGAAAACCUCACGCUAAGGUUCGACGCCAUCCCAAGAAAGCCCAUAGCCAUCAGCGGUGAAGGGUUCCCAAGGCUCAACAGACUCGUUGUUGAUUGCCGGCUUCCACGGGUUGUCACCUUCCAGGAAGGAGCGAUGCCGAAGCUGGGAAUCCUCCGCUUCGAGUUCCAGUUCUACGGUGGACCACCUCCAGCUGCAAAUAAAGGAGACCCUCGGCUGGGUGUCAAGCACCUCCGGUGCCUCUUCUUGGUCGAAUUUAGAUGCAGCGAGGAAUGGUAUGGAGGAGCAGCAGAGAGCAGCCCGUGCAUGAGCGCCAUGAUUGACGUCGUGAGGAAAGAAGCCCGGGAGCAUCCCAAAAAGAUCUACUUUCGUGUCACUGGCCGCAAGGAAUAG